UACGUAGGGACCAAGCGUUGUUCGGAUUUACUGGGCGUAAAGGGCGCGUAGGCGGCAUGACAAGUCACUUGUGAAAUCUCCGGGCUUAACUCGGAACGGCCAAGUGAAACUGUCAAGCUAGAGUGCGGAAGGGGCAAUCGGAAUUCUUGGUGUAGCGGUGAAAUGCGUAGAUAUCAAGAGGAACACCUGAGGUGAAGACGGGUUGCUGGGCCGACACUGACGCUGAUGCGCGAAAGCUAGGGGAGCAAACAGG
rnacentral:rRNA from 1 species